CUGGCUGCCUUCCUUGGGGGCCAGAGAUUGAAAAGCUAUGCUAAAAAGCCCAUUGAUUGCACAAGGGGAGGCAUCCUUCUACUCUGGAAUGAGGACAUAAUCAAGGUGGACAAUAUUACCACUGGAUCUUUCAGCCUAUCUGCAAACAUCACCCUGAUCAAUACCACCACUUCUUUCAAGCCGACAUCUGUUUAUGGUCCUACUCGUAGCAAUCUCAAAGAUGCUUUCUUUCAAGAGCUUGUGCGCCUGAAACCUCAACAAGGCACGAGAUGGCUGGUGUCGGGUGAUUUCAACCAAAUUUAUCAUGCCCGAGACAAAAACCGCACAAAUGUUGAUCGUAGACGCCUCGUGCGCUUCCGAAAUGCACUCAACACCUGUGAACUGAAAGAAGUUCACCUACAAAAUAGGAAAUUUACUUGGAUCAAUGAACAUGCCAACCCAACCUUGAGCAAAGGACAUUUUUUCUGCAAUGAGGACUGGGAUGUUGCUUUUGGCUCUCAUAUCCUACAUGCCCUUUCAUCCUCACUCUCUGAUCACUGCCCACUUCUCCUGGCCUGCGACAAGGGACGAAAGCGACCGAAAACUUUUCGAUUUGAAAUUUUUUGGAUUAAGAUGCCAAACUUCAAGAAGACGGUCCAAGAUGCCUGGAAUGAGGAGCUGACACAUACUGAGCCCUACCAACUGCUUUUCCACAAGCUAAAGAGAACGAGCCAGCGCCUUCGAACCUGGAGCAAGUCGAUCUUCUCUAACCAUAAAGUGCAACUCCACAUGGCUCUCGAGAUCAUCCUCCGCGUAGACGUUGCGCAAGAACAAAGGCCGCUCAGCUUGGCUAAAUGGAACCUGAGAAAGGAGCUUAAAAGGAAGAUGGUGGCCUUAGCGGUUUUGGAAUGGGCGAGAAAGAAACAAAGUUCAAGAAUUAAUGGGCUCAAAGAGGGGGAUGCAAAUACCCGUUUUUUCAUCUCCGUAUUAACCAUCGCCGCAGAAAGAACUUCAUCCACCGUCUUAAACACAAUAACGGCUGGGUCACAGAGCAUGACCACAAGAAAGAUAUUAUCAAGCACCACUUCACGAGAGCAAUUGGGAAGGGUCCUCCGCGUGAAAAUGACUUCAACUGGGCCUGCAUUCCGCCAACGAUGA
rnacentral:rRNA from 1 species